UAUAAUUACUACCUAAUUGUGCGUUAUGCAUUAGGGAAAAAAAAAGAGAACUUACCUCUAUAAUGCUUCAAAUCUAACUCUCGUUUUCCUAUUUCAAUUCCUUACGUUUUUCCUCCUUGUUCUCCUUAUUAUUUUCUAACUCUUCUUAUAUUUCUAGAUCACCUAAAAUUGAUCACAUCGUAACACAAUAAUAAAUGUGAGGAUAAGAUUAUGAAAAAAUCAUAUUGUGGUAAAGAAAUUAAUAGAGGUAAU
rnacentral:lncRNA from 1 species